UAUCUUCUACCUUGCUUAGCUGAACCCCAUGGAAGAAGAGAGAAAAUUUUCUCUUUUCUUUUCUUUGCCACAUCCCAACCUUGAGUUCUUGCUAAAAUCACUUGGAAAAUUAUCUCCUAAACUCAUUUCCACCAUCAAUCUCUCCAUUUUAAACCUAGGUUUUGGAUGUGUUUAGUAAGAGAGUUGAAGCUAGAGAGAGAAAGUUUCACUAAGGUAAGUAAUGGUGUUUUCCAUCACUCCUAGUUUGAUAUUUGAGUUUGUUUACUAUGAGAAAGCUUGAAAAGCUUAUAUGCUAAAUUUUGGUUAUAUUUUUGUGUUUGAAAAAAAAUGAGAAAUGGGAUUUCAAGUUAGGAUGAGGACGGGUUCAAGUGAUUGGAGGAUUGGUUUUGAUUAUAAGUGCAUUUAAGAGGUAAAUACCCUUGGAGACUCUAACUUCUCCUAUACUAAUAUGUUUAGGAAAAUGAUAAAAUUGUGUGUUAAAUAUGAAACUGAUUAUGAAAUAAAUAUGUGUAAGUUCCAUAGCUUAAAGUAUUAGAAAUAAAUGGCUUGAAAAAUCGUGGCUUAGUAAGCGUUAGCCAUAUAUGCCAUAUUAACUAAUAAAGUGAUAUGAAAACAUUGUUGCCAUGGAAUGGUCAAUAAAUGUGACUUGGUAUAUGUGAACAAGCUUGAAGUGUGGUAUUAAUGAAAUCAAUGUCUUAAUAUAUCACCAUGAUCACUCUAAUGAUUAUUUUUUUAAUAUAACCAUCUUGUAGACUAGAUAGAAUUGAUAUGUGAUAAUGUGUGUAUGGCAUACAAUAAAGGUAUGACCAUGUAUAUGAGGUCACAAUGAACCUUUUCAAAACUUGACUACAUAUAAGAUAAUAAAUAUGUAACAUACCAAAACCUAGCUCAAAAGUUUUGAUCGAAUCUCGAAGGUUACAUUGAUCAUCAAAGUGAUUUGGAAAUUUUUUUUACAAAACACGUUGCUGAAGUCUCAUUUCAACAUGGUUUAGCUUGAUUCAAGCUAAACCGUUCAAUUAUUUUCGGAUUAAACAAAAAAAUUCAAAUUACGAGAAAUACAUUCAGAGUUAUAAUUCUAUAGUUUCCAAAGUUUAGUCAAAAUAGUACUUUACAAAAAUAGUCCAAGGUUUAAAUUUACAAAGUUCGAAUUUAAACUUAAACCACAGUUCAUACAGUUCAAAACAAUUUAUCAAAAUAGAAACUGAAAGAAGACUAAUUAACUUGCUUUAAACGAGACUGUCCAGGACCUCUGGUAUGUCGAGUCCAGCUUCAGAUUACGAGAGUACCUGAAAGGAAAAACUAAGGGGGUGAGCUACACGAGCUCAAUGUGAGUCCAAAACUAAACGUAAGAAGCAAAAGAUGAAGAAACAAACCAGAAUGCUCUCAAAACAUUACCCGACCAACCGAUCAGAAAUACAAAAUACAGAUACAAAAUCUACAAGCCGCAUUUAUAAAAUCCCAACCACACAAUACUUAACCACACAAGACUAAGUAAUUUAGUGGAUACAAAACAGUACAUGCUCCCCAACGUUCAGAAAAAAGUAAUUCUUCCUUUAACUCCAAAGACAAAACUUACCUAAUUUCGCACCCAAUCAAACAUAACACACAAGGACAAUCAGCCAACAAUGUUGAUACUAAAACCCAUAAUUCAUUUGGAGAACAAAAAUACAACGGUAAUUAAUUCGCCAACAAUGAAAGUGAGAAAAGGAGAAGAACCAAAAAGAAUGGCAAGAACAUGGAAAAAGAGAGGAAACAAAAAGUUAUGAAGAAAGAGAACGUGCAAAAGAAUUUUAGAAACAACUUCUUCUUUUUCCAAAAAUAAAAAUACAAUAAAAUAAAUAACAUAAAUAAAUAUAUAUAAAAUUAAAAACAAAACUCAAAUAACAUUAAUUCCUCAAACACAGAUGAUGAUUUGAACCCAGAACCCAAAGGUAAACUAACACACAUCUAACCACUGAACCAGCAGGCUCAUUUUGACAAUAAAACACGAAAAUCAACUCAAUUGCUCAACCUACUCACUGACCUUAAACACAAAUCUCAAAACUUCUAACUCUAAAUUUUGGGGUGUUACAACCCACCCUUCCUUAUAGAAAUUUCAUCCCCGAAAUUUCCACUAAUAGAAUAGACGUCUAAUCACAAAACUCACCACUACGCUCCCACUGUUCACUCUAACCUUAGCGUACUACCAUACCAUACUUAACCUUAGAAUCUCAUACACCUACUUAGAACAGUUAACCACUGAAGCAGAUCAAAUCAUUUGUCUAACACACAUAAAUACUAUGUCAUAUUCAAAAAUUCAAUUUAUUCACAAACAAUAGCACACCAAGUCAAAAUAUUUUACAAUCACACCUAACUCAAUGUCGAUGAGGGCACUCCCUAAUCUGAUGCUUUAUGGACCCACAUUUGAGACAUGCUCCUAACUUUUUCCAACAUUUGCCCAGAUGGCGCUUCUUACAAUGCUCACAAACUGACACGUUCCCGCUACAACUAGAACCUUCGACAAUACCUUUACUAAAACUCAACUGCAAUCUCAGACGCUUCAUAGAUCGAGGCUCCAACCUCAAAGGACUACUAUCUCUUUUCUUCAUAGAUCGAGGCUCCAACCUUGAACCAUUUUUCUAUAUCUUUCUAUGCUACCCUUAAAUACUUUCUCUAGAACCUCUCUCACUACUUGAGUCAAAGCAUUGGUACCAACCUCCAGGUUAUAACUACCUGAAGCUGGCAGAACCGCAUUGACUUCCGACUUUUGAAUAGGCAGACGUCCCGGAAAAGUAGAUGACUCCUCGAAAGUCUCACUAGACUGACCCUCACGAUCUCGCUUACCUUCAAAAUCCAUAUCCAUCUUGUGGCUAACUUAGAAUAUCUCUAUUUUCAGAAAACAAACACAAAAUAAAUAAAAAAUUCUACAUUUUUAAUCCUACAGUUUUGAAUUUUCACCUGGACCAACAUCGGAGUCUCAGGCAUUUUAUUUUCAUAAAACAUUUCCUAAACACAAAUCAUUUCAAACUACUGUGGUAAAGUUUCUCAAAAUUUUUUCCAAAACAACCACGUGCGCACACAGAUACGUAAAAACACAGGUUGAGUUUUUGCAAACUUGGCUUUGAUACCACUAAAUGUAACACACCAAAACCCGACCCAAAAGUUUUGACCGAAUCUUAGAGGUUAAAUUGAUCACCGAAAUGAUCUGGAAAUUUUUUUACAAAAACACGUUACCAAAGUCUUAUUUUAACAUGUUUUAGCUGGAUUCAAGCUAAACCAUUCAAUUAUUGUCGGAUUAAAUAGAAAACUUCAGAUUAUGACAAAUACGUUCAGAGUUAUAAUUCUAUAGUUUCCCAAGUUUAGUCAAAAUGGUACUUUACAAAAAUAGUCCAGGGUUUAAAUUUAUAAAGUUCGAAAUCAAACUUAAACCACAGUUCACACAAUUCAAAAUAGUUUAUCAAAAUAGGAACUGAAAGAAGACUAAUUAACUUACUUUUAAAUGCGACUGUCCAAGACCUCCAGUAUGCCGAGUCCAGCUUUAGAUUACGAGAGUACUUGAAAGGGAAAACUAAGGGGAUGAGCUACACGAGCUCAGUGUGAGUCUGAAACUAAACGUAAGAAGCAAAAGAUGAAGAAACAAACCAGAAUGCUCUCAAAACAUUACCCGAAGAACUGAUCAAAAAUACAAAAAAUGAAUACAAAAUCUACAAGCCGCAUUUAUAAAAUCCCAAUCACACAAUACUUAACCACACAAGACUAAGUACUUAUUCUCCUAAUAAAGGAAAUAAAAGUGUAAUGUAUAACUCCUAAAUGAAGCCUAUAAACAUUUGGCUAUAAAAGGAAAGAACUUAUGUGUAAAUAUGUUAAACGAACUCUAAUAAAAAGUGGACAUAUGCUUGAUUAAAAAAAACCAUUCUAGCACUACAUAAGAGUCAUUUAUCUGUACUUCAUAAUGUGUUCGACUAAUAAACUAUUAAUAUGUAAGUUGAGCCCUAUAAUUUGGUAACAAGAAAUGAAUUUAUUAGUAACACUAAAAUGUGAUACUAGUGAACUCCAUAAUAAUCACUUCUGAAAGGCUUAACACUAAUAAGGAAUAAGAAAAGUAGGUUUAUCUAUGUGUACUUACUGAGCUCAAGUACUAGUUGCUUAAAUGAGUAGGUUAAGAACUUCCCAAGAAGUUUUGGAUUCUAGCUUGGGAGCAUUGCAUCACCAUUCAAGUCUUGAGGUUGUGAUUCAUUUGUCUUGGUUGCCAUUGGUAUUAAAAUCUUGACAUGUAUAUAAAUACUUAGAUUGAAUUUGGAAUUUGUAAAAUUUAUUUGUAUUUUGAACCCAUGUUAGUGUUAUAAAUUGAGCUUUGAUUUUUUAUUUAACUUGAAUAUGUUUAUGUUGGAAAAAUCCGGUUUAAAAAACGAUUUCCAAUCAUGGCUGAAAUUUAAAAUUUUGAAAAUCGAACUAGUUUGUAAUAUUUAUAGUAAUAAACUUUUUUCCUGAAAAGUGCUUCUACUUUGUGCGAAGAGGAUACGUAUUGUUCCUGUUUUUAAUAGAACGACUUUUUUUGUUAUCCUUGUAUCCUGAAUUGUGUCAAGUGUGUGCUCAAACAACACAAACCAAACACAGAACAAGAAACGAUUUAAUACUGAAAGUAAUUCUCUCACAUAGAAAUCGAUAGAAAUUGUAAUUCCUAGAAAAUAGAAAUAUAUGAAACUUAUGUAUAAAAAAAACUUAUGUUAAUAGUUCAACCAAUGCUAUAUAUUUUUAGGAAGAGAUAAGAGAAUCUUAGUUAAAUAAGAAUAACACAAAUAAUAUUUAUUUAAUAAAAAAAUCUUUUAGUCUAACUAGAAAGGGGGCACACCCUCUCAUUUCUCUUAAGGUUGUCACCCCCCACAUGUUUAUGUGAGGCAAAUUGGGCCCUUCAUGUAUUGGGUUUAAUUAUAAGUGCUUACUAGACUUUUAUGUAACACCUCUCACCCGGUUCGGUUGAUGGACUCGAGUUAUAGGAUGCUACAACAAAUUUUGAAACUUAUACAGAUGCAUUUAUCACAACUAUACUGUUAAAGAUGAAAUCAUGACUAAUUAAACUUUUAAGUGAUAAUAGAAAUAGAUUUAUUCGAGAAAUAAGAACUAUUCAGAAAAAAAAAUUGAAACCCAGCGUAAGUAUCGAUACUAAACAAGUAGGUAUGGUUAUUUAUGUGUUAGGUAUUGAUACUAAAGUACGCAUAGAUACCAUUUUAGCUCUUUGCCAAAUUUGGUUCUAAAUGUUUUAUCUAUUCCUUGUAGAGGUAUCAAUAUUUUUAUCACGAGUAUCGAUACUAGUGUUUGGGUAUUGAUACCAAACUUGGUUACUGUCGAUUUUUAAAAACUUUCCAUUUGACAAGGUAUCGAUAUGUUGAUCCUGAGUAUUGAUAUAUUCUCAUGCAAGAAAACUUAUAUAUAUUUCAAUUAAUGAUAAAUUUGACAACUUUGGAAUAUGAAACAUAUAAAUGGUCUUAAUCACCACAAACUGGAUAAACGGAUCUCCAUCACACCAAUGACUCAAAGAGUCUAACAUGUCCCAAAAGUGUAGCAUUAAGCUAAACACUUUCCAACACACUAGCAUGUCCCAAUGAAUGGAGCUUAGUUUGAUAUUCUCUUAUCUCUCUAACUUGUCUCAUGGCCUCAACGCCUAAAUCACAAAACACAAAGAUGAGUACUUGUAAUGCGUGGUUUGUGCAAGUGUACACAAUCGUUAUCAAGUAAUAAGUAAGUAAAAGAGUUAUCGUCUCUAUAGGGAUUAUGUAUUUUAAUCAAUUAAUUAAAAAAUUAAUAUUAACAAUUUGGUAAGAAAAACACAAUCUUUUUGAGGUGAUUGAUGAUGAAAUUAAAUUAAAUAAGCUAGAUACAAAAUGAUCCCUAAUGCAAAUUAACCUAAAUGCAAUGUAUGCAAUGGAAUGAAUGGGUUGAGUUUAACAGCAAAUUCACAAGCUUCAACAAUCAAUAACAUGAAUAGGCUAGAAUAAUCACAUCAUUCAACUUAAUUCAUUUAUAUCAUGCUUAAUAAUGUUUUGGAAAUUAUUCCAUGGCAACUUGAUCUUUCAUGAGCUUGAAACCAAUUUUAUGUCCUUUCAGAAUUUUUCACUUAGAAAAACAUGCAUACUACCAUGAUUAUAUUUAACAAAGGGUUUAUUAGAAUUCAUGUGAAGUAACAGGGACGAGUUAGGUUUGAAAUAGUUUAAUCACAUAAAUCUAAAAGCUAUGCAAUGUAAUAGAGCUCUUUCGAGUUAUUACGAACCUUUAAUUUAAUCGGGUUAGGAUCUAAAUUAAGCAUGCACCUUUCAAUUACUACGUCCACUAAUCGCCAUCUGGUUAGGAUUGAUCAACUAAUUAUAAUGCAUUCAAUCACAUUUUCAUGAAUGAAAUACAUGCAUGAUUUUAAUUGAAAGCAUGAACAACUGAGGCAUAGAACAUCAUAAACAUGAUUUAAAUGAACUUUAUUUAAUUGAUGCGAUUAUUCUAGCUAAACAAAAUUAAGUUACCAUUGUUGAUGAAAAAAUAACAAAACAAAUUACGAACAUGAUUAAUAUCCAAAAUAAAAUAAAGAUAGGGAAGAAUAAACUCUAAAUGGUUCGACAGUUCUCUGGGAAUCAAUUGUAGUGGCUUAAUCCAAUCCUCUUGUUUGCCUCUUAGCAAAGUGCUCCUCAAGGUGGCCGACCAAGAGAGUAUUUUAUCAAAUAUUUGAUAGCUAAUGGUGAGGGAAAAUAGGGAUGGCUAUGCAUGAAAGGGAGAUAAAAUAUGAUGAGAGGAAAGAAUGAGAAAUGAAGAAUGAAUGUUGAAUGAGGGAUGAAUGAUGUUUGAGAGAUGGAAGAUGAUGGAUAUGAGGCAUAGGAGUGGGUAUUUAUAGUGAAGGUUGGUAGGUGAGUUUACUAAAAAUGGCGUGUAGAAUCCCCCAAUUUACUCACUUUCUUGGUCAUCCACACAUUGUGGAAGGAAGUGGUUUGUUGGUUACUGGAUUCAAGAAUGAAAUCAUGCUUGAAUUAAGCAAGGGUGUGGACGGUAUCAAAGGCAAAUCUUGUGGGCUAUUUUUUUAUUUAUUUGCUAGUGUAGGAACCUCCAAUAAAUCCACCAAAAUUGAUUUUUGGGAUGCUCACAAAUGCUUUGCCGAAUUGGACUUGUUCUCCCUUGUUUGGAUGGUUUGGUGAACCAAUUAUUUACCAUACUUGUCCAUCAAUUGAUCCAUCUUUAAUUGGAUCAAAUCAACUUCUUCAUGACUCAUUUUGCAUGUGUUUUUCGUCCACAUAGAGUGAUUUUGGGCAUGUCCAUGUAACUUUAUUUUAUAAACAAAUCAUGCAUAAUUUCCUUGGUCCAAUUUCAUUAAAUAAUAUCAAGAUUAAUAUGUAGCAUAAAAUAAUUAAAUUAUGCACAAAUUUAAUGCAAAAUAACAUAAAAUAACAUUCUUCAUUAAAUCAUUCCUAUUAUUGAAAUAUAAACAAAAUUCUCUCAAUUAGUGAUAAAUUACUUGGAAUUAAUAUUAUUUUUAAGUAAAAAGGUGCCAAAAACAACUAUAAAAACUCUAUAUAAAUUAAAGUUUACAGUACUCACAAUCCUAUGGCAUGCCAACUAUAUUCAAUGGUUUCAAGAUAUUACAAGGCCAAAAUAUCCAUAAUUGCACAUAUUUACUUAAUGUUUUAAUGCACAUAAUCUCAUUCACAAUGCAUGCUUAACAUAUACAGAUUUCAUUGCACUUCAAGUGCCACAAUAGUGCUCAUUGAGAGAUCAUAUAUUAGACUUCAUAUGUGUGCAUAUAAUAUCAACAAAUCACAUAUCAUACUAAUGUAUUUUUACAUAAUAAUUGUUGCAUUAGCAUCUUAUAUCACAACACAUCUUAGGCAUGAAUUUUCGUCAAGGCAAAAAGUAUAGGAAACACUUAUUCUCCAAACUUAAGAUAGGGGUUUAGGUUAAUCCUAAGCUCCCGAUUAACACUAUGAAUCGCGCAUACCAGCAGUUGUAACAGCUCGUUUUCAGUGAAAUUAGAAUAGUGGUUUUGGGACCACAAAUCUGAAGUUAAAAAAAUUAGUUUAAUAUUAUUUUAUGGUCUACAAUAUGUUGGAGAUAUCGUAUAAAAAUUUUGUUAAGAAAUUUUACCGCUUACAUGCCUAAUUUGAUAAAAAGGACUAAAUUGCAUCAAGUGCAAAUGUUGAGUUCUAAUAGCUAAAAGUAUUAAAUAACUAUAGAAUUUUAAAUUUUAGGUCCUUAUAUAGUAAAUAGGCCAUUAAAGUGGUUAGUGGAUAAGUAUGAAUAGUCAUCAUUAAAAAUUUAUUGAAAUAUUAAGGUUAAUUUUAGAAAUUUGUGAUUGAAGUUAUAAUAAAUUAAUUAAAUAAACUAUUAUCAUCUAUUCUCACCAUCAUCCACCAAAAAAAAAAACUAGCCAUGGAAGCUUAAAAAUUUAGGCAAGCUUAUUUUUCACAAGUAGGUAUGAAUCUUUGUCCAGUUUUUUAUGAUUUCUAUAUUUAUAGGAUCGUAGUAGCUUAAUCUAGUUAGUUCAGGGAUUAAUUUGCAAAACUGUUAAAGUAUUAGGGUUUUUCCAUUGAUGAAUAUGCUUGAAUUUUGAAGUUUGAUGAUAGAAAAUGAAUGGUUGUUGUUAGGUAAACAACUUUUGUAAAGAGAAUUUUGAUGAAAUUAUCAAUUAGGGAUUUAAUUGAAAAAGAUGAUAAAUUUAUAGUACAAUUUAUGAAUUUUGUGAAAUAUAUGCGAUGCUAUUAAUAUGUAUAAAAUCGGCUAGGCUUGAGUAAGGAUUAGAUUGUAUGAAUUUCAUUUUUUUGAGCCUAGGGACUAAAUUACAAAUGAAUUAAAAGUAUAAGGCAAAAUGGUAAUUUUGCCAAAAUACCAUGUUGGAUUAAAUUGAAUGAGAAUUAUAUUUAAAUGAGUUAAAUUCAUUCGUAUAGAUCCUGUCAAACCUCGUACAGAGUUAGAUCAAGGUAAAGAGAAAAUAUCAGAUUAGUUGCUUUCGUAUCUACGUACCCUUAUCGAGGUAAGUUCGUGUAAUUAAAUUGUAUAUUUAUAUGUGUUAAAUUUAAUUAUUGUUUGUGAAUUGUAUAAUUGCCAUGAAUAAAUACCGGUUGUAUAUUCGACAAUUACCAACCCCGUUUGAACCUUAAGAAUCCAUAGGAUACAAAUGACAUUUCAUUAGGGUCACCAAUUUCAACUCUUAUGAGCUUCCUGAUACUCAGCUCGCAUGAGCUUCCCAUUGUUCAGCUCGCAUGAGCUUUCCAUUGUUCAGCUCACAUGAGCUUCUUGUUAUUCAGCUCGGAGGAGCUUACUGUGUAUAGCUCGUAUGAACAUACAUGUACAUGAAUUGACGAAUUACAGUUCAGUACAUUUCGUGUGUACUACCCGUGUAUCCAACGAUAUUCUAAAUAGUUCAACGGGCACAGUUCUAUUAUGAGAUCAUAUGAGUUUGAUAUGAACUAUUACUGGUGUUUACAUGAAAUACAUGAAAUAUGAUUAUUUGAUGAAUUCAACCAUUGUGUUGGAUCUUAUAUGUGAUUUUCAUGGCUAAUAUGUGGGUGAUCAUGUGUUUAGGCUUUUGGCCAAAUUGGUUGAGAUAUGCUAUGUUUACUUAAUUAUUUUAUGGAUAUAUGGUAAGUUAAAUUUCAUGUUAUACGAACUUACAAAGCUUAAAUGCUUACUCUGUGUUAUUAUAUAUGUUUUAUAGUAAUUCAGAAGCUUGUUCGAGUUGGAAGCUGGUCGGAGCUAUUUCACACUAUCCAACAGUCUUUUUGGUACUUUGAGUAAAUUAAUUCUGGUUCUAAUGGCAUCUAUAGGUUAUUUUGGCUAAUGUUGGCAUAUAAAUAUUUUGUUGAGAUCAACCAUUUAUAUGGCUUGUGUUUGGUAUAUUUUGAAGUGUAUAUAAGUGACCA
rnacentral:lncRNA from 1 species